UGUAAAGUUCAAGCUCCGAUUAUGAGGGCGAAACCGCGAAUGGCUCAUUAAAUCAGUCAUAAUCUACUUGAUUGUUUCAAGUUUAUAUGGAUAACUGUGGUAAUUCUAGAGCUAAUACAUGCACAAAUGAGGCGACUUUUCUAAACAAAAAGAAGCUUUGCGUUUAUUAGACUAAGACCAAUGAGAGCUCAACACAUCCGUGUGUCGUCUCUCUAUUUUAAGGUGACUCUGAGUAAAUAAUGGGUGAAAGCCCAUGUUGCUGACCUGACAUACCAAAGGUUUUUGCUUCAAAACAAAAACCGUCAGGCAAAUCAAUCGAGUGUCUGCUCUAUCAACUGUGGAUGGUAGGAUAAUUGCCUACCAUGGUGAUGACGGGUAACGGGGAGUUAGGGCUCGACUCCGGAGAACAAGCCUGAGAAACGGCUAGUAGGACUAAGGUCUGCAGCAGGCGCGAAACUUACACAAUGCUAGAUUACACAUAAUAUAGCGAUGUAGUGAAGAAAAAUAACGAUGUGCUUCCAUUUAAACAUGGUAGCACAAUUGGAAUGAGACGACUCUAAACCAGUUAGUCGAGUAACAAAUGGAGGGCAAGUCUGGUGCCAGCAGCCGCGGUAAUUCCAGCUCCAUUAGCAUACAUUAAAGUUGUUGCGGUUAAAAAGCUCGUAGUUGAAUUUUUAACGGGCUCUAUUGGGAUGCGGUCGCUAAGGUUCGUCUAGCUCCCUCUCUUAUUCAGAGAGAUGCUUAGUCAAACUGAUCGUAUUUUCCCUAUAGGAACCCGUUGUUUCGUCACUUAAUCGAGUGCGAAGCGUGUUGGAACUAUCAACAUAGCUCUCUUCGGAUUGCAUGUAAGUUACAACAAGUUUACCUUGAGAAAAUUAGAGUGCUCACAGCAGGCAGUUGGAGUGUAAAAGCUUCUUUAUGCUUGAAUAAUGUUGCAUGGAAUAAUAGAAUACGGCCUCGGUUCUAUUCUGUUGGUCUUAUAGAACAACAAACAAGUUGGUUAAAGCGAUCAAAGGUUAAUUUCGUGAUGUGGUUCUAUUGUCUCGAGUACCUGUUGCCUAGAGCCUAAAAACUCUAGCGCCUCUACUCGCAAUGUUCCAUCUAAGCAUCCAAAAUUUCAAACCUAGCUUUCUAAUCAACUGAGGCAAUGGUUAAAAGAAAUAGUCGCGGCGGCAUCAACACUGCAUCGAGAGAGGUGAAAUUCUUAGACCGAUGCAAGACUAACUGAAGCGAAAGCGUUUGCCGAGGAUAUUUUCAUUAAUCAAGAACGAAAGUUAGAGGUUCGAAGGCGAUCAGAUACCGCCCUAGUUCUAACCAUAAACGUUGCCAACUAGCAAUUGGGUUGCGAUUCCUUUAAUCGAAGCGUUAAAAAACUUCGAUCAUUAUGAUCCACCCAGCGGCUCUCGUAGGGAAACCAAAGUGUUUGGGUUCCGGGGGAAGUAUGAUUGCAAAGUUGAAACUUAAAGGAAUUGACGGAAGGGCACCACCAGGAGUGGAGCCUGCGGCUUAAUUUGACUCAACACGGGGAAACUUACUAGAUUAGAACUCUGGAAUGAUUGACAGAUUGAUAGCUCUUUCUUGAUUCAGAGGAUGGUGGUGCAUGGCCGUUCUUGAUUCGUAUUCCGAAACGUCUGCUUAAUUGCGAUAACGAGUGAGACCUCAUCCAACUAACUAGUCGUCUUGGUGCGCUGUGGAACGCAAAAGUCUACUCUGGGAUCAAUGCUGUAUUGAUAACUGUAGGUUCACGCUUAUAAGUGUUAAUGCACAACCCAGUUUAGAUGUUCUCUGCUCGCCAGCGGACUUCUUAGAGGGAUAAACGGUGUUUUAGCCGUAAGAAACGAGGCAAUAACAGGUCUGUGAUGCCCUUAGAUACUCUAGGCCGCACGCGUGCUACAAUGGCCUGUGCAGAAAGCUUGUUCGAGGUUUGUCUAAAGAGAACUAAUUGUUUGGUUUAAGUGUAGGGUAGCAAUAUUUUGCGCUUAAAUCGGCAAUAAAGUGACUUUGGUUAACAAGCCGAGAGAAACCGUAGUCGAAAGAUUACGGCAAUCAAAAAUACACGCCGUGAUUUGGGAUUGGGGAUUGCAAUUGUUGCCCAUGAACGAGGAAUUCCCAGUAAGCGCAAUUCAUCAUAUUGCGUUGAUUACGUCCCUGCCCUUUGUACACACCGCCCGUCGCUACUACCGAUUGGAAGUUUUAGUGAGGCAUUUGGACCUGUUAAGCAAGGAAGGGGCAACCCUUCCAGCUUGACGGGGAAGUCUGUCGAACUCAAAUUUCUAGAGGAAGUAAAAGUCGUAACAAGGUUUCCGU
rnacentral:rRNA from 1 species